AUUUUUAUUUUAUUUUAUUUUGCAGACCUGUGAUUGACUUCAAUGAGGUAACUCUUCACUAUCUAGAGUGCAUCCAUGUACAUAUGGACAACACCAGACCAAAGGCAAUUACAGCCAUUGGAACCGUAACCCCGCAUCAGAACGAUAUGAAAGGAUUCCAGACUCCUCUUACCAAUCGAAUUCCAGGCAUGAAAUUUUCUGAAAAUGAAAUCCAAAAGAUGGUCCUUGCUGUUUUCAUGGAGCCAGCUAGCCU